CAGGACUCGCAAGAUUCCCGUAAACCACUGUGAACAUACCUAUACUCGUUGCCUCGGCGGGCGCUCUAGGCUUUAGUGCCAGGGCGAUUUACGCCUGCCGGCGGCUCAUAACUCUAUAUCUUCUAGCGUUAGCAUCUCUGAAAAAUACCAAAAUAAGUUA
rnacentral:misc_RNA from 1 species